AUUGAACGCUGGCGGCAGGCUUAACACAUGCAAGUCGAGCGGAGAUGAGGUGCUUGCACCUUAUCUUAGCGGCGUACGGGUGAGUAAUGCUUAGGAAUCUGCCUAUUAGAGGGGGACAACAUUCCGAAAGGAAUGCUACUACCGCAUACGCCCUACGGGGGAAAGCAGGGGAUCUUCGGACCUUGCGCUACUAGAUGAGCCUAAGCCGGAUUAGCUAGUUGGUGGGGUAAAGGCCUACCAAGGCGACGAUCUGUAGCGGGUCUGAGAGGAUGAUCCGCCACACUGGGACUGAGACACGGCCCAGACUCCUACGGGAGGCAGCAGUGGGGAAUAUUGGACAAUGGGCGGAAGCCUGAUCCAGCCAUGCCGCGUGUGUGAAGAAGGCCUUUUGGUUGUAAAGCACUUUAAGCGAGGAGGAAGCUACCUGGAUUAAUACUCUAGGAUAGUGGACGUUACUCGCAGAAUAAGCACCGGCUAACUCUGUGCCAGCAGCCGCGGUAACAC
rnacentral:rRNA from 1 species